GCCAAUUUGGCUCAGUGGAUAGAGCAUCAGCCUUUGGACUGAAGGAUCCCAGGUUUGAUUCCAGGCAAAGGCA
rnacentral:tRNA from 1 species